rnacentral:rRNA from 1 species
UAUGGUGUGUGCCAGCAGCCGCGGUAAUACGGAGGGUGCGAGCGUUAAUCGGAAUAACUGGGCGUAAAGGGCACGCAGGCGGUGACUUAAGUGAGGUGUGAAAGCCCCGGGCUUAACCUGGGAAUUGCAUUUCAUACUGGGUCGCUAGAGUACUUUAGGGAGGGGUAGAAUUCCACGUGUAGCGGUGAAAUGCGUAGAGAUGUGGAGGAAUACCGAAGGCGAAGGCAGCCCCUUGGGAAUGUACUGACGCUCAUGUGCGAAAGCGUGGGGAGCAAACAGG